rnacentral:rRNA from 1 species
AAAACUCUGUUAUUAGGGAAGAACAAAUGUGUAAGUAACUAUGCACGUCUUGACGGUACCUAAUCAGAAAGCCACGGCUAACUACGUGCCAGCAGCCGCGGUAAUACGUAGGUGGCAAGCGUUAUCCGGAAUUAUUGGGCGUAAAGCGCGCGUAGGCGGUUUUUUAAGUCUGAUGUGAAAGCCCACGGCUCAACCGUGGAGGGUCAUUGGAAACUGGAAAACUUGAGUGCAGAAGAGGAAAGUGGAAUUCCAUGUGUAGCGGUGAAAUGCGCAGAGAUAUGGAGGAACACCAGUGGCGAAGGCGACUUUCUGGUCUGUAACUGACGCUGAUGUGCGAAAGCGUGGGGAUCAAACAGGAUUAGAUACCCUGGUAGUCCACGCCGUAACCGAUGAGUGCUAAGUGUUAGGGGGUUUCCGCCCCUUAGUGCUGCAGCUAACGCAUUAAGCACUCCGCCUGGGGAGUACGACCGCAAGGUUGAAACUCA